UGGGGAAUAUUGGACAAUGGGCGCAAGCCUGAUCCAGCCAUGCCGCGUGAGUGACGAAGGUCUUCGGAUUGUAAAGCUCUUUUUGGCGGGGACGAUAAUGACGGUACCCGCAGAAUAAGCCCCGGCUAACUUCGUGCCAGCAGCCGCGGUAAUACGAAGGGGGCUAGCGUUGUUCGGAAUCACUGGGCGUAAAGCGCACGUAGGCGGAUUUGUUAGUCAGGGGUGAAAUCCCGGGGCUCAACCUCGGAACUGCCUUUGAUACUGGCAAUCUAGAGUCCGGAAGAGGUUAGUGGAAUUCCCAGUGUAGAGGUGAAAUUCGUAGAUAUUGGGAAGAACACCAGUGGCGAAGGCGGCUAACUGGUCCGGUACUGACGCUGAGGUGCGAAAGCGUGGGGAGCAAACAGGAUUAGAUACCCGAGUAGUCCCUGAGCGGGCUGGCAAGGCGCAU
rnacentral:rRNA from 1 species